UACAGAGGGUGCAAGCGUUGUUCGGAAUUAUUGGGCGUAAAGGGCGCGUAGGCGGUGCGGUAAGUCUGCGGUGAAAUCUCCCGGCUCAACUGGGGACUGCGUUUGAUACGUGCGGGCUUGAGUUCGGAAGAGGGUCGUGGAAUUCCCAGUGUAGAGGUGAAAUUCGUAGAUAUUGGGAAGAACACCGGUGGCGAAGGCGGCGACCUGGUCCGAUACUGACGCUGAGGCGCGAAAGCGUGGGGAGCAAACAGGAU
rnacentral:rRNA from 1 species